GACGUCACGGAUGGGCGGGCGCCAUUUUGAGGCGGUCCCUGAGGCGUGUGGGGUAUCGCGUGUGGUGCAACUAUCGCAGCAGCUGCCCAGGCAAGUAAAUGGAUAUCUUUGUCAGUUCUUACCAUCCUGCAGUGUUAUGGUCACCUUGAUAUUGCAUCGAGCAAAUCAAGUCCUAAACAUUGGUCAACUUUUUACCUGGGUGUGGUGGGGUACAAUAGAGCUACCACUUCCUAGAAUUGAAGGAUGGGGCAGGGCCUCUGGUGCUGAGCCUGAGCCCCCCCCCGUCUCCAAAUACUUGUACAGAAGUGCCUACAGAACUCCUGCUCUAGGUGACACCACAACCAAAGCCGCAGGGUAUUUCCCAGUGGUGCUUAAUGAACCUGAGUUCCUCAGUAAAUAAUUAAAUCCACAAUAAUAAGACAUGGGAAGAAAAAAAUUAGAGCACCGCCAAUUAUCUUGAGUCCUGCAGGAACAAGCUAUUCAUUAAGAACUCCUAGGAAGCACUGCUGAGGAGGACAGAAAAACUACAAUUAAAAAAAAAAAAGUUAUUUCUGAGCUUGUUUUUCCUUACUUCAGACCUGGCAGUUUCUCCUUGCCCCCAUGAUGUGGAUAUUUCACCAUCACCAGGGCCACCUACAAGCUCAGCUGUCUGUACCUGUGAGCAGAUCUGUAGGGCUUUGAGGAAGUGGGUGCUGCUCCCUCCAGGUUGCCAUAUACACAUCAAAGGGGCCAACUCUGAUCUUUCCAUGUCACUUUUGUAACAAUGUGUUGUCACAAUAUUUAAUUUUAAGCCUCAGCUUUUGUAAUGGAUGUUUUAAAGGACAAUUAAUAUUGUCCAAAAUGUUUGCUUUUAGAAAACUUGGUAGCUCUUUAGGGAGCUUUUUCCUAGUGCCUGAAAGCACAGAAGUGACUCACUAGAACUUUGACUUUUGUUUUGUUGACUGAGUUCUCUGUAUUUCCCCGGCUGCCCCCUAGUUCACUGGCCAGUUUUUGUGGUUUACUGAAAUAUUUUUUCCUCUUUAUAAUGUUCUCUCUGCCUUGGUGCUCUGUGUAGGAGUCAUGCAGACAGAGGUGCUGAUUAAGCAGAGAAAUGCUGAAAAUAAUUCUACAUAAAGCAUUUCAAGAUGUGCAUGAGGACUCUCUUCCCCUCAGUACUGAUUUUGCUAUUAGGUGAGGCUUGUGAUGAAGGAAGCCAGUGAGAAGCACACUCUUGCAAGUAUUAGCAUUCUGUGCUUUUACUGCUUUCUGCUCAGCAGAUGAGCAGACUUUGUAUCCCCUGUGCUCUUGCAUGCAAAAAGAUGCUGUGUUAAACAAG